UACGGAGGAUGCGAGCGUUAUCCGGAUUUAUUGGGUUUAAAGGGUGCGUAGUCGGCUUUUUAAGUCAGCGGUGAAAUUUUGCAGCUUAACUGUAACAGUGCCGUUGAUACUGGGGAGCUAGGAUUUGGUUGCUGUGGGUGGAAUGUGUGGUGUAGCGGUGAAAUGCUUAGAGAUCACACAGAAUAUCGAUUGCGAAGGCAGCUCACAAAGCCAAGAUUGACGCUGAGGCACGAAAGUGUGGGGAUCAAACAGGAUUA
rnacentral:rRNA from 1 species